CCUACGGGCGGCAGCAGUGGGGAAUAUUGCGCAAUGGGCGAAAGCCUGACGCAGCGACGCCGCGUGAGGGAUGAAGGUCUUCGGAUCGUAAACCUCUGUCAGCAGGGAAGAACGGUCACUGUGCUAAUCAGCAGUGAAUUGACGGUACCUGCAAAGGAAGCACCGGCUAACUCCGUGCCAGCAGCCGCGGUAAUACGGAGGGUGCGAGCGUUAAUCGGAAUUACUGGGCGUAAAGCGCUCGUAGGCGGUAUGUCAAGUCAAGGGUGAAAUCCCCGCGCUCAACGUGGGAACUGCCUUUGAAACUGGCAGACUGGAGUGUGUGAGAGGAGAGUGGAAUUCCAGGUGUAGGAGUGAAAUCCGUAGAUAUCUGGAGGAACAUCAGUGGCGAAGGCGACUAUCUGGCACAUAACUGACGCUGAGGAGCGAAAGCGUGGGUAGCAAACAGGAUUAGAUACCUUUGUAGUC
rnacentral:rRNA from 1 species